UUAGUUGCUAACGGUUCGGCCGAGCACUCUAAAUAGACUGCCUUCGUAAGGAGGAGGAAGGUGUGGACGACGUCAAGUCAUCAUGGCCCUUAUGCCCAGGGCGACACACGUGCUACAAUGGCAUAUACAAUGAGACGCAAUACCGCGAGGUGGAGCAAAUCUAUAAAAUAUGUCCCAGUUCGGAUUGUUCUCUGCAACUCGAGAGCAUGAAGCCGGAAUCGCUAGUAAUCGUAGAUCAGCCAUGCUACGGUGAAUACGUUCCCGGGUCUUGUACUCACCGCCCGUCACACCAUGGGAGUUGAUUUCACUCGAAGCCGGAAUACUAAACUAGUUACCGUCCACAGUGGAAUCAGCGACUGGGGUGAAGUCGUAACAAGGUAACCGUAGGAGAACCUGCGGUUGGAUCACCUCCUUUCUAG
rnacentral:rRNA from 1 species